UAUUNAUCCAUCUUGAGUUUUUCACUAGUCCUUUUUCGUAGGUACAUAUGACAUAUGACACACGUAUGUGUACAACAUUGGCCCACGCUUGUCGAAUAAAAUUUCUUUUAUUAAUGAUGUUGGAUUGACUAUGUAAUCUUCUCCCUUCUGACAAAGGUUUGUCGAGUAAAGUUUCUCUAGUGAUGGUGUUGGAUUGAAUAUACCCUUAUUUGGACUCUAUUAAAAUGAGAUUUUGAAAAAAAAAAAAAAAUGUGUUUUGAAUUUUUUUUUUAAAGAUAUGUGGUUAAAAAAUAAAGAUAAGUUCUGAAUUUAUAUAUAACAUUUUAUAUGAGAAUGUGUGGUUGAAAAUAAUUUUUUUAAAAACGCAAUUUUUGGAAAAAUGGAAGUCAAGCAGGAACUGUAAACUGUUGACCUCGUGGGAUGUCACUCAGUGACCAUGUCUCUCAGUGUAAUUAUAUGAUUUUAACCACAAAAAUCAUAUGAUACUACAUGUUUGAUGAAAAUAUAAUAAAUCGCUUCUCAGAACAUAAACAAGGAAAAAAAUAAUGUAGAAAGAUGGAGUUGUGCUAAGUUGACAACUAUGUCAAUGUUGUAAAAUUUAUUUAAAUGUAUAUAUAAUUUUCCUACUGAACCCUAUUUCAUUCAAUUGUAACGCUUAAGUUUCUACUCUCUAUAUUUUCUUGUACUAUUAUUCUCUCAAUAUUAUAACACUAGUCUUUGACACGUGUGUUGCACAAGUUUUGUAUUUAUUGUAUUUUUAUUAGCGUCAAAAUUGUAGAUUUUUCAAAAUUAGUUGAAGAUUCGAAGUAUUUGGUAAAGUCUAAUUGUUUGGUUCAUUACAUUAACGCAGGAUGCAUGGAAUUACAUAAUCUAUCAAAUAUAAUUUUUAAAAUUAAUUUUUAUAAAGUAAUAUAUUUUUAUAAAUUUUU
rnacentral:lncRNA from 1 species